rnacentral:tRNA from 1 species
AAGACAUUAGUAAAACAUUACCCUAUCUUGUCAAGAUAGAGUUGCGGGUUAAACCCCCGCAUGUCUUA